rnacentral:lncRNA from 12 species
ACAAUGCUUACCACAAUUGAGUUCAAAUAUUAAAAACAAUGAAACAACCCAGCCCUAAAGCAGGCUGGUGCAAAAAGCAGGAGGGGUGAGAGCAGAGUUUCACACAGGGAGUGGUGCUGCACAGUUAUGGCACACAAUGAUUAAAGGUGUUGGGAGGUUGCAGAGAGAUACCUCACUAGAAUGCAGAAUAAAUUCAUAUAGAAUUUUUUAUGCUGUGUUUUUUUUUUAUGGACAGAUGGAGUCAGUGU